AUACAUUUGGGGGAUUUGGGAAAUUAAUGAUUAACUUAUGUGGAUAAGAAACAGUUUGAAUAGGCUGAACGAUCAGUAAAUGAUGUGAAACGGUUGAAAGACAGCUGUAUUUGUAAGGAGCUCAGUUCAUUUGUACCUCGUAGCGGUCUAUCUAUCCACGAUGAAGCUCAUCCUGACAAUCUCCUGCGCCUUCACACUGUUCUACACAGCUGACAUGCUCAAUUGCUACACCUGUGAGCCUGAGGAUGAAAAAUGUCGGACAACAGUAUUAAAGAACUGUGUGAAAGCAGUAUGUUCCACCUUAACAAGCAUAGAAUAUCCUUCAGAUUCCAUCAGAGUAUCUAAGGGUUGUACGUAUGUAGCCAAAAACUGUUAUUUCAUGGAUAAAGUAACAGAACUGUCAAUGAACAACGGAUACUCACAAGCCUCCCAAUCCUCGUUUUGCUGCAACACGACAGGCUGCAACAUAGACACCCUCCCUGCCCUCAGUGACAAGCCCAAUAAACUACAAUGUCACACCUGGGUGAAUGGUACUUAUGAAGUUUUGCAAUGCAUUGGAAUUGAAGACCACUGCUUCAAAUAUAAACAGCUCACUCCUGAUGGGGGCAAAGUCACCAUUUAUGGAGGCUGUGCCUCCAGUGACUCAUGCCUCUGGUCUGAGAUGCCCAACCAGACGAACCUCAACUGCUGCAAGGGGAGUCUGUGUAACAAAGCCAUGGGGAUGAGUCUGAGUUCUCUCCCUCUUCUGCUGGGUCUCCUCCUCAUCUCACUGGUCUAGUUAGUGGGAGGAUUCAUGGUCUUACACACAUCUGAAAGCAGGAAAGGAAAAGGAAAUAGAGAGAAGGACCACCAAACAUCUGAUGCUAAACCAAAGAAUGUUAACGAGGCCAUAAAUAUAUUUUUAUACCUUUUUACUAUGUUUGAUAUGAUGCCAUUAUCGGGUGAAUGUAGCAGGGUAAAGUCAGGUCUGAUGGGGCAGAGUAAACAGAUUUAGGAGAUGGGUUUAUUCUCAGGUAUAGGAUCAUACCCAUAUAUUUUCACUUCUCUUAGUUUUUUUCUGUACUGCUUUUUAGUUGAGGCUUGUAGCUAGCUGAGGGUUGUAACAUGGCAGUGUGUACCCAUUUAUAUCAACAGUUAUUAUCAAUCAGUUAUUAUAUGCUUAAUGUGCUUUGGGACUAAUAAAAUAAAAGUAAAGAAUCCUA
ensembl:lncRNA